rnacentral:lncRNA from 1 species
GUAAAAUGAGGAAAAAGGCAGAUAUGCUAGCGGUAGCUAUCUUAAGUGUAGAAAGACAGGGAAGUGAAUAGAGGAGACGAGAAUAGGCUGAGCAAGGGACUUUAAGUAGGAAUUAAUGUGCGUAUUGUAGAAAGGAGGGACAUUGGAAGAGUGAGUGUCCACAGAGAGAGUAGUAUGAAGGUGAUAGACAGGAGAGAGAAGGGUACGAGGAGGUUAUAGUGGUAGUUAUAGAGGAAGAGGAAGUUUUAGAGGGAAUGGUGGGAAUAGUAGAGGAAGUGUUCAAGGAGACAGAUACUAUCCACCCACGCAGAGACCUAGAGAAAGAGAGGAUAGAGAUUUUGUGGGUCUGGCUGACAC